rnacentral:lncRNA from 1 species
CAGUAUAGCAAUUUUAAUACUAGACAAAAAAGGGACAUACAAAAUGAAAAACAUGAUAUGGGAUAGAAAGGGGUAGUACAUAUUAGCAUUAGGAACAAGGGACCAAGAAGAUGUAAAUGAUCAUAAACAUAUGCACACUUAGUAAUACAGCUUAGAAAUAUAUGGAACAAUAACUGACAGAACAAUGAAAUAAAUUAAUCUUCUACUUGGAAAAUUUUGAGUCAUUAUUUUCAGAAAUUAAUAGCUUAAGUGAACAAAAGGGCAAAGAUACAGAACAUUUAAUUCUCAAAUUAAAACUAAAAAAUGUUAUUAAAAAUAGGUGCAAAAAUUUUAUAACACAUUCCAAACUGAAUUUUGGGCUUUUCAACACUGUCUCUUUUUCUUUUCUUUUCUUUUUUUUUUUUUUUUUUUUUUUUUUUUUUGUCUUUUGUCUUUUUAGGGCAACACCCACAGCACAUGGAGGUUCCCAGGCUAGGGGUCUAAUCAGAGCUGCCGGCCUACUCCAGAGCCACAGCAAUGCCAGAUCUGAGCCACAUCUUCGACCUACACAGCUCAUGGCAACACUGGAUCCCUAACCCACUGAGCAAGGCCAGGGAUCGAACCCGCAAACUCAUGGUUCCUAGUCAGAUUCGUUUCUGCUGCACCACGAUGGGAACUCCAGCACUGUCUCUUUUUCAUUUCAGACAUUUUAGCUUUUAGCCUUGAAAAACUAGAGGCUCCUAACUCUAGUGAAAAGUCUUUGCAAGAUAAGUAGCAAAUAUUUCCACUUCCCCCUGAAGCUGCCAGAAAAAGCACAGAAUAUUCUGCAUCAUAAAACUGACCUGACAACUUUAAUUCUAAAAAGAUUUGUAAGACAUCCAGACUUCAGAAACUGUUGUUAUAUCCUGGAGAAAUAGUUCCUCAUCUCUAAGAGGCUUAUCAUGCUGAUUGGUUGUUUUAUAAUAUGUUGCCCUGGUGAUAAUAUUUAAAAUGGCAUCUUAAAGAUAUAAAUACUUGUUGACUUUCUUUGUUAAGCCAGAAAGGGAUCAAUGGCACUUAACAUGCCUAGAGAAAACAAGCAAAAUGACUUUUAGAUUCCCAUUUUAUACAGGGUUUGAUUGAAAGUCUCAUCUUAUUUAAAUAAAUGAAUAACACUUGGGUUAAACAGUAAAUUAGGAGAUGCUUAGAACUGAAUGACAAUGAAAGUACCAUACAUUAAAAUCUGUGAGAUGCAUCUAAAUAGAUCUUAGAAGGAAAUUUAUAUCUUUGAAUAUACUGAUGGAAAUUUAAAAACAAAUUAACUAUUUGUCUUCUUCUUCCUUUCUCUUCAUCUUUUUUCCUGCCUUCCUUUCCCGAACAAUUCAAUCCUAACUAUAUUAGAUCGGUUCACUUCUAAGGGAUGUAGGCCUCCACACAUCAGGAAUGGGCUGAGGCUAAGCCCAAAGCAAGGAGAUGGCAUCUUAGGAAGAUAAGAGUGUCAGGCAGGGUAAGAGGUUACCUCCACUCUGAAGCACAAGCAGUCAGAGUCCUAGCAAGGUGGGCAGGGCAUCCCUGUGGAAAAGCAGCCUGGCAUGGGAGGUUAGCAGGAUGGGUACAACGAGGAGGCCAUCACACAGGGAUGGGCAUGAGUAGAGAAGAGAAGUUGAUUGCAUAAGGAUUAAUCAAAUAAUUAAAUAAAAGUUGUCCCUGAAGUCUUCGUGCAAUUUUAAGCUUUAAUAACUGCAGAACCUGGAGUUCCCAUUGUGGUGCAGUGGUUAACAAAUCCGACUAGGAACCAUGAGGUUGUGGGUGUGCAUAUUUUGAAUGAUAAAUAUUUAAUUUUAAAUUUCCUUUUCAGUCUCUCUGAUUGAAGAUGGCAAAUAAUUGAAACAGGAUAAAAUAUAGACUGUAUUAUUCAAGAUUCACACACAAAAAAAAAUGCGUGAAGGAAAUUUAAACAAACUUUCAAAUGUAGGUGGAAAGGGGAAAAAAAAAACUACAUUAUACCUAUGAUGUUGGAUUGGAAAUGAAAAUAUAGGUG